rnacentral:miRNA from 1 species
CGAGGGAGGAGACUGCA